rnacentral:lncRNA from 1 species
GCAUAAGUAUUUAAGUCAUUACAUUAUGGAGGUGUUGGAGAGAGCUGGUGGUAUAGGAGGUGAGGAGGAGGGAGAGGGAGUGGUGGAGUGACACAGAGAUAAAGGUAGAGAAAAAGAGGGUGAGGCAAAGAUAGACAGCUUUACCAUAGCAAGAAAGACAGAGGGAAAGAGAGAAAGAAAGAGAGACAGAGAGAUGCACGAGAGAGAGAGAGGGACAUGACUCAGAGAGAGACAUGAGCUACAGAGAGAGAGAGGAAAAGAGAGAUAUACAGAGAGAGGAAGAGAGAGAUAUAUAGAGUGAGGGAGAUAUAUACAGAGAGAGGGAGAGAUAUACAGAGAGAGGGAGAGAUAUACAGAUAGAGGAAGAGAGAGAUAUACAGAGAGAGGGAGGAAGAGAUAUACAGAGAGAGGGAUGGAGAGAUAUACAGAGAGAGGGAGGGAGAGAUAUACAGAGGGAGGGAGAGAGAGAUAUACAGAGAGAGGGAGGGAGAGAUAUACAGAGAGAGGGAGGGAGAGAUAUACAGAGAGAGGAAGAGAGAGAUAUACAGAGAGAGGGAGGGAGAGAUAUACAGAAGGAAGGAGGGAGGUAUAUACAGAGAGAGGGAGGGAGAGAUAUACAGAGAGAGGAAGAGAGAGAUAUACAGAGAGAGGGAGGGAGAGAUAUACAGAAGGAAGGAGGGAGAGCGAUAUAGAGAGAGGGAGAGAUAUAGAGAGAGAUAUAGAGAGAGGGAGAGAUACAGAGAGAGAUAUAGAGAUAUAGAGAGAGGACAUUUCUGUGGUUAAGGAGGCUCUGUGUCUGGUCUAGUGGGUUGUCAGGACUCAUGGAGUGUGUUUGUGGCGAUCUGAUGUGACAGAGAGGUAGUCUAUACUGGCGUGCGUCGCUCUCUCUCUCUCUCUCUCUCUCUCUCUCUCUCUCUCUCUCUCUCUCAUCCCCCAUGUCCCCCUGCAGCACUAAGUGACCUACAUCUCGUGUCAGGGGGCGUUUCUGUCUGUGUGUGUGUGUGUGCAGGCGGGGGCUAAGGGUUGUGUAGGUCAUUGGAGCGUUGUAACGUGACUUAUGUGAGUGGAGUGCUCUGCUCUCUGUAGGAUUUAGUGCUGAGCAAUAAAGUCUACAUUUCGGGUAUUUCUUGGAGUUCAAUUGUUUGGGUUAGUGUGUGUGUGUGUGUGUGUGUGUGUGUGUGUGUGUGUGUGUGUGUGUGUGUGUGUGUGUGUGUGUGUGUGUGUGUGUGUGUGUUCUGAUGUUGGGUGUGUGUGAGUGUUCUGAUGUUGGGUGUGUGUGUGUGUUUAUUCUGAUGUUGGGUGUGUGUGUGUGUGUGUGUGUGUGUGUGUGUGUGUGUGUGUGUGUGUGUGUGUGUGUGUGUGUGUGUAUUCUGACAUUUGGAUCUAUUCCCAUCUAUUUAUAAGUCAGAGCAAUAAUCUCUCUGUCUCCGCCCCGGGCUGGGACUGACAUGGUGUCUGUGUCAAUAACAACACACCACAAUGUUAUUUGUGUGUGUGAGUGUGUGUCUGAGCAUGUACAUGUGUUUGUGAGAGAGAGAGAGCGAGAGAGAGAGAGAGAGAGAGAGAGAGAGAGAGAGAGAGAGAGAGAGAAAGAAACAUGUGUGAGUAGAUUUAAGAUGAAAUAGCCCUGUGUUGUAAAACCAGCAGUAACAGUAAUGUGAUGUGUUCCAGUGUUCUUUUACAAUGGAUUCUGAAGACAUUCCCAUUCUAGAACCAGCUCCUGUCUCAUUAUAUAUAUAACAGUAAUGUGAUGUGUUCCAGUGUUCUUUUACAAUGGAUUCUGAAGACAUUCCCAUUCUAGAACCAGCUCCUGUCUCAUUAUAUAUAUAACAGUAAUGUGAUGUGUUCCAGUGUUCUUUUACAAUGGAUUCUGAAGACAUUCCCAUUCUAGAACCAGCUGUCACGUCCUGACCAUAGUAAGAUGUUAUUUUCUAUGGUAGAGUAGGUCAGGGCAUGACAGGGGGUGUUUUGUGUUUUUCUAUGUUUUCUAUAUCUAUGUUUAGUUCUAGUUUUCUAUUUCUAUGUUGUUGUUUUUUGGGAUGAUCUCCAAUUAGAGGCAGCUGGUUCUCGUUGUCUCUAAUUGGAGAUCAUAUUUAAGUAGGGGUUUUUUCUUCCUGGGUUUGGUGGGUGAUUUAAUUUUGAGUAGUGUUUGUUCUCCUCUGUGUCAUGGUUUGUUGUUUGUGUCUAUUCAGUUAUUUUGAUGUAUUGCAUGAGCUUCACAGAGUAAAUAAAAUACAGAACUACCCACCACGACUGGAUCAAGCAGCGUGCCCGGGAGGAGAUGGAUUCCUGGUCUCUGGAGGAGAGGCUAGAGAGGGUAAACUGGACUUGGGGCCAAGUACUGGACAGAUAUAGAAGCCUGCCGGGGAGGCACGAGAGGCUACAGAAACCCAAAUAAAAAAAUUGGGGGGGGGGCACAUGGAGCAGUCGGCGGAGCCGAGGAGUAAACCAGAGCCAAUCCGGGAGAAGAGGGAAAAUUUGGAGAGGGGAGAAAUGGGAGAGUUAUUGAGUUGGUGGAGGACGCACAAGUAUUUCCCAAAGGAACGUGUCGUCAGUUUGGUGCCACCUGAGUCAGCUCCCCGUACUCGUCCUGAGAAGUGUGUGGAAGUUCCGGAACAAGUGAUACCGGCUAUACACACCAGGUCUCCAGUACGUCUCAACAGCCCGGUACGUCCUGCGCC